GAUCAUGGCUCAGAUUGAACGCUGGCGGAAUGCUUUACACAUGCAAGUCGAACGGUAGAGGGGGCAACCCCUCGAGAGUGGCGAACGGGUGAGUAAUAUAUCGGAACGUGCCCAGUCGUGGGGGAUAACGUAGCGAAAGUUACGCUAAUACCGCAUACGAUCUACGGAUGAAAGCGGGGGAUCGCAAGACCUCGCGCGAUUGGAGCGGCCGAUAUCAGAUUAGGUAGUUGGUGGGGUAAAGGCUCACCAAGCCAACGAUCUGUAGCUGGUCUGAGAGGACGACCAGCCACACUGGAACUGAGACACGGUCCAGACUCCUACGGGAGGCAGCAGUGGGGAAUUUUGGACAAUGGACGCAAGUCUGAUCCAGCCAUUCCGCGUGCAGGAUGAAGGCCCUCGGGUUGUAAACUGCUUUUGUACGGAACGAAAAGGUCUCUCCUAAUACGAGGGGCUCAUGACGGUACCGUAAGAAUAAGCACCGGCUAACUACGUG
rnacentral:rRNA from 1 species